rnacentral:lncRNA from 1 species
AGGAAAUGAAAAUUUAUAGAAGAAAACAGAACAUGAUAUAUGUGAGGCAAAGAUGUGGCUUGGCGGAGAACGUUAUGGGAGAUCUGAACAAGGACGAUGAGGAGGAGUGGAAGAGGUUAUGAGAAACAGAAAAUGGAGAAAAUGGAUAUUGUAUGAGGAGCAAGUAUGUGAAAUGAGAGAUUGUGAAUUUGACUGUGGAAGUUGAACCGAUAUUACAAAUCUCAUGCAAAAUGAGCCUCAACUUGGGUCGCUUUUGGUGUGAUCAACUCAUCAGCAACACCACCUUCUUCUCCAAAACCUCCUCUCACACUCUUCUUCAUUCUCUAAC